rnacentral:rRNA from 1 species
UUUAGAAUUAAAAUUUACAAACUUGAGUAGUAUUAGUUAUGGUCUUGAAACUUAAAGAAUUUGGCGGUACUUUAGUCUAUUUAGAGGAAUCUGUUCCAUUAUCGAUAAUCCACGUUGGACCUUACUUAAUUAAAUUAGUAUGUAUACCGCCGUUUAUAAGAAAAUCUUAUAAGAGAAAUUUUCUUAAUAUAAAAUUUUAUAAUAUUUCAGGUCAAGGUGCAGUUUAUAAUUAAGUGGAAAUGGAUUACAAUAUAUUUAUAAACGAAUUAUUAAUUGAAAUAUUAAUAUAAAGGUGGAUUUAAUAGUAAUUUUAAUAAGAUUAUUAAAUUGAUUUAAGCUCUAAAGUGUGU